rnacentral:rRNA from 1 species
CCUACGGGAGGCAGCAGUAGGGAAUAUUGGGCAAUGGAGGCAACUCUGACCCAGCCAUGCCGCGUGCAGGAUGAAGGCGUUAUGCGUUGUAAACUGCUUUUAUAUAGGAAGAAAGAGUUCUUGCGAGAACAGUUGACGGUACUAUAUGAAUAAGCACCGGCUAACUCCGUGUCAGCAGCCGCGGCAAUACGGAGGGUGCAAGCGUUGUCCGGAUUUAUUGGGUUUAAAGGGUGCGUAGGCGGUUUAUUAAGUCAGUGGUGAAAGACGGUCGCUCAACGAUUGCAGUGCCAUUGAUACUGGUAGACUUGAGUGAGAUUGAGGUAGCUGGAAUGGAUAGUGUAGCGGUGAAAUGCAUAGAUAUUAUCCAGAACACCAAUUGCGUAGGCAAGUUACUAAGUCUCAACUGACGCUGAGGCACGAAAGUGUGGGUAUCAAACAGGAUUAGAUACCCUGGUAGUCCACACUGUAAACGAUGAUAACUAACUGUUGGUUUUCGAAUANAGUGUAGAGAGAAUAGUUAAGUUAUACUACCUGGUAGGUACGCCGGCGACGGUACGAACGUAACGUAAAGUAAGUAGUACGUGAGAGACGUACGACGACGGACGACGACGGAGGGAGGGAGG